GAUGAACGCUAGCGGCAGGCCUAACACAUGCAAGUCGAGGGGCAGCACAGGAAAGUAGUAAUACUUUUGGGUGGCGACCGGCGGACGGGUGCGUAACGCGUAUACAACCUGCCUUCUACUGGGGGAUAAUUCGGAGAAAUCUGGUCUAAUACCCCAUAACAACCGAUGAGGCAUCUCGUUGGUUUAAAAGCUCUGGCGGUAGAAGAUGGGUAUGCGUGAGAUUAGAUAGUUGGUGGGGUAACGGCUCACCAAGUCGACGAUGUCUAGGGGGACUGAGAGGUUAACCCCCCACACUGGUACUGAGACACGGACCAGACUUCUACGGGAGGCAGCAGUGAGGAAUAUUGGUCAAUGGGCGCAAGCCUGAACCAGCCAUGCCGCGUGCAGGAUGACGGCUCUAUGAGUUGUAAACUGCUUUUGUACGAGGGUAAAGUGGGUUACGUGUAACCUUUUGAAAGUAUCGUACGAAUAAGGAUCGGCUAACUCCGUGCCAGCCGCCGCGGUAA
rnacentral:rRNA from 1 species